rnacentral:tRNA from 2 species
CGGGCUGUAGCGCAGCUUGGUAGCGCGCCGCGUUUGGGACGCGGAUGUCGCAGGUUCAAAUCCUGUCAGCCCGA